rnacentral:rRNA from 1 species
UACGUAGGGUGCGAGCGUUGUCCGGAAUUAUUGGGCGUAAAGGGCUCGUAGGCGGUUUGUCGCGUCGGGAGUGAAAACACCGGGCUUAACUCGGUGCUUGCUUUCGAUACGGGCAGACUAGAGGCAUGCAGGGGAGAACGGAAUUCCUGGUGUAGCGGUGAAAUGCGCAGAUAUCAGGAGGAACACCGGUGGCGAAGGCGGUUCUCUGGGCAUGUCCUGACGCUGAGGAGCGAAAGUGCGGGGAGCAAACAGG